AUUGAACGCUGGCGGCAGGCCUAACACAUGCAAGUCGAACGAGUGGCGGACGGGUGAGUAAUGUCUGGGAAACUGCCUGAUGGAGGGGGAUAACUACUGGAAACGGUAGCUAAUACCGCAUACCAUCGGAUGUGCCCAGAUUGGCUUAGCUAGUAGGUGGGGUAAAGGCUCACCUAGGCGACGCUCCCUCGCUGGUCUGAGAGGAUGACCAGCAACAAUGGGACUGAGGAACGGGCCAGACUCCGAGGGGAGGCAGCAGUGGGUAAGAUUGCACAAUGGGCGCAAGCCUGAUGCAGCCAUGCCGCGUGUAUGAAGAAGGCCGUCGGGUUGGAAAGUACUUUCAGCGGGGAGGCGUUACCCGCAGAAGAAGCACCGGCUAACUCCGUGCCAGCAGCCGCGGGAAUA
rnacentral:rRNA from 1 species